rnacentral:rRNA from 1 species
AUUCCGGUUGAUCCUGCCGGAGGCCAUUGCUAUCGGAGUCCGAUUUAGCCAUGCUAGUCGCACGGGCUUAGACCCGUGGCAUAUAGCUCAGUAACACGUGGCCAAACUACCCUACAGACCGCGAUAACCUCGGGAAACUGAGGCCAAUAGCGGAUAUAACUCUCAUGCUGGAGUGCCGAGAGUUAGAAACGUUCCGGCGCUGUAGGAUGUGGCUGCGGCCGAUUAGGUAGAUGGUGGGGUAACGGCCCACCAUGCCGAUAAUCGGUACGGGUUGUGAGAGCAAGAACCCGGAGGCGGUAUCUGAGACAAGAUACCGGGCCCUACGGGGCGCAGCAGGCGCGAAACCUUUACACUGCACGACAGUGCGAUAGGGGGACUCCGAGUGUGAGGGCAUAUAGCCCUCGCUUUUCUGUACCGUAAGGUGGUACAGGAACAAGGACUGGGCAAGACCGGUGCCAGCCGCCGCGGUAAUACCGGCAGUCCAAGUGAUGGCCGAUAUUAUUGGGCCUAAAGCGUCCGUAGCU